GUUAGUAAACAACCCCAACAUCUUUCCAGAAAAAAUAUCUUCUCUUUGGAUUGUCACAUUCCUGAGAUGCAUAAAGAUCUACUUGCAUAUAAUGUUAAAUUC